GACAGAGGGUGCAAACGUUGUUCGGAAUUACUGGGCGUAAAGCGCGUGUAGGCGGCCAUGCAAGUCGGAUGUGAAAGCCCUCGGCUCAACCGGGGAAGUGCACUCGAAACUGCAAGGCUAGAGUCUCGGAGAGGAUCGUGGAAUUCUCGGUGUAGAGGUGAAAUUCGUAGAUAUCGAGAGGAACACCGGUGGCGAAGGCGGCGAUCUGGACGAUGACUGACGCUGAGGCACGAAGGCCAGGGGAGCAAACGGG
rnacentral:rRNA from 1 species